UACGUAGGGUGCGAGCGUUAAUCGGAAUUACUGGGCGUAAAGUGUGCGCAGGUGGCCGCGCAAGUCGAGUGUGAAAUCCCCCGAGCUUAACUUGGGAAUUGCGCUCGAAACUACGUGGCUCGAGUGUGGCAGAGGAAGGUGGAAUUCCACGUGUAGCGGUGAAAUGCGUAGAGAUGUGGAGGAACACCGAUGGCGAAGGCAGCUCGCUGGGACGAUACUGACGCUAAGGCGCGAAAGCGUGGGGAGCGAACAGG
rnacentral:rRNA from 1 species